rnacentral:ncRNA from 1 species
GAACAAGGGGAGCUGGGUCUUUCCCGGCUGAGACAGAGGUAAGAGAGCCUCUGAGACCCUGGAACCUGAUCCGGGUAAUGCCGGCGUAGGAAACAGA